rnacentral:rRNA from 1 species
UAAUACAGAGACUGCAAGCGUUGUUCGGAUUCACUGGGCGUAAAGGGUGCGCAGGCGGCCAAGUGUGUCAGGUGUGAAAGCUCGAGGCUUAACCUCGAAACUGCGCCUGAAACUAUUUGGCUAGAGUACUGGAGAGGGAAGUGGAAUUCACGGUGUAGCAGUGAAAUGCGUAGAUAUCGUGAGGAACACCAAUGGCGAAGGCAACUUCCUGGACAGUUACUGACGCUCAGGCACGAAAGCGUGGGGAGCAAAAGGGAUUAGAUACCCCUGUAGUCCACGCCCUAAACGGUGCAUACUAGGUGUUGGCGGAAUCGACCCCGCCAGUGCCCAAGCUAACGCGAUAAGUAUGCCGCCUGAGGACUACGGCCGCAAGGCU